AGUGAACGCUGGCGGUAGGCCUAACACAUGCAAGUCGAACGGCAGCACAAGAGAGCUUGCUCUCUGGGUGGCGAGUGGCGGACGGGUGAGGAAUACAUCGGAAUCUACUCUGUCGUGGGGGAUAACGUAGGGAAACUUACGCUAAUACCGCAUACGACCUACGGGUGGAAGCAGGGGACCUUCGGGCCUUGCGCGAUUGAAUGAGCCGAUGUCGGAUUAGCUAGUUGGCGGGGUAAAGGCCCACCAAGGCGACGAUCCGUAGCUGGUCUGAGAGGAUGAUCAGCCACACUGGAACUGAGACACGGUCCAGACUCCUACGGGAGGCAACAGUGGGGAAUAUUGGACAAUGGGCGCAAGCCUGAUCCAGCCAUACCGCGUGGGUGAAGAAGGCCUUCGGGUUGUAAAGCCCUUUUGUUGGGAAAGAAAUCCAGCUGGCUAAUACCCGGUUGGGAUGACGGUACCCAAAGAAUAAGCACCGGCUAACUUCGUGCCAGCCGCCGCAGUAA
rnacentral:rRNA from 1 species